GUAGGCUAUGGGGAUAUCUAUCCAAAGACUCUGUUAGGAAAGAUUGUUGGGGGCUUAUGCUGCAUUGCUGGGGUACUGGUGAUUGCCCUGCCCAUCCCAAUUAUCGUCAACAAC
rfam:Scleropages formosus scaffold4097, whole genome shotgun sequence.